rnacentral:rRNA from 1 species
CCGCUCUUGGAGGGGCUCGCGGCCUAUCAGCUAGUUGGCGGGGUAACGGCCCACCAAGGCUAUGACGGGUAGCUGGUCUGAGAGGACGACCAGCCACACGGGGACUGAGACACGGCCCCG